UUUACAUUUUAUAUGAAGUUUCACAUUAUUACAAAUUACUGUGUGUAGAUGAAUGCAGUGAUCUGGCUGGGGAUAUAAUGUACCUGGCAGCAAAAUUCAUCCCAAAGGAAAAAGUGGGUCAAGCCUUCUUGGAGGAUGGGAAUGUCCAUGCGGCCAUGGCCAAAACAGAAGACUGCAGGAAGACACUGGAAGCUGUGAAUACUUUAGAAAGUGACUGGGAAAUAUUUGACCUGGCUACACAUGGUCUUGGGCCUGCAGUUAUGAAAGGCACUUUUGCUUUAAUUGAUUCUUGUCUUAAAGAGAAAUCAAGACUCCAAAAAUGAGUAAUUUUUUUUCUUGCCAUUUUAUGUUCAUUGUGUUCAGCUGAAUUAAAAAAGUAAUAUGUGCAAUACAAAUAAAAAAAGUAUUUCAAGGUU